rnacentral:rRNA from 1 species
GAUGAACGCUGGCGGCGUGCCUAAUACAUGCCAGUCGAGCGAACAGACGAGGAUGUUUCCCCUCUGUCACUUUCGCCGCGCGGGUGUGUGACACACGGAUAACACACCCAUAUGACUGGGAUAACAUUGGGAAACCGCGGCUCAAACCCCGGAAUAUAUUUAACUUCGCGGGUCAAUAUUGAAAAAGAGGUUUGCGCUCUCUUAUAUAGAGAUCCGCGCCGCAUUAGCUAGUUGGUGAGGUAACGGCUUACCAAGGCAACGAUGCGUAGCCGACCUGAGAGGGUGAUCGGCCACACUGGAACUGAGACACGGUCCAGACUCCUACGGGAGGCAGCAGUAGGGAAUCUUCCGCAAUGGGCGAAAGCCUGACGGAGCAACGCCGCGUGAGUGAUGAAGGUCUUCGGAUCGUAAAACUCUGUUAUUAGGGAAGAACAAAUGUGUAAGUAACUAUGCACGUCUUGACGGUACCUAAUCAGAAAGCCACGGCUAACUACGUG